rnacentral:rRNA from 1 species
ACCAGACUCCUACGGGAGGCAGCAGUGGGGAAUAUUGGACAAUGGGGGGAACCCUGAUGCAGCAACGCCGCGUGAGUGAAGAAGUAUUUCGGUAUGUAAAGCUCUAUCAGCAGGGAAGAAGAUGACGGUACCUGAGUAAGAAGCCCCGGCUAACUACGUGCCAGCAGCCGCGGUAAUACGUAGGGGGCAAGCGUUAUCCGGAUUUACUGGGUGUAAAGGGAGCGUAGACGGUGAGACAAGUCUGAAGUGAAAGCCCGGGGCUCAACCCCGGGACUGCUUUGGAAACUGUCGGACUAGAGUGUCGGAGGGGUAAGUGGAAUUCCUAGUGUAGCGGUGAAAUGCGUAGAUAUUAGGAGGAACACCAGUGGCGAAGGCGGCUUACUGGACGAUUACUGACGCUGAGGCUCGAAAGCGUGGGGAGCAAACAGGAUUAGAUACCCCGGUA